UACGGGGGGGGUAAGCGUUGUUCGGAAUUACUGGGCGUAAAGGGCUCGUAGGCGGCCAACUAAGUCAGACGUGAAAUCCCUCAGCUUAACUGGGGAACUGCGUCUGAUACUGGCGAGCUUGAGUGCAGGAGAGGAACGCGGAAUUCCUGGUGUAGCGGUGAAAUGCGCAGAUAUCAGGAGGAACACCGGUGGCGAAGGCGGGUCUCUGGGCCGAUACUGACGCUGAGGAGCGAAAGCGUGGGGAGCGAACAGG
rnacentral:rRNA from 1 species